UACAGAGGUCUCAAGCGUUGUUCGGAUUCAUUGGGCGUAAAGGGUGCGUAGGCGGCGCGGUAAGUCGGGUGUGAAAUCUCGGAGCUUAACUCCGAAACUGCAUUCGAUACUGCCGUGCUUGAGGACUGGAGAGGAGACGUGGAAUUCAUGGUGUAGCAGUGAAAUGCGUAGAGAUCAUGAGGAAGACCAGUGGCGAAGGCGGGUCUCUGGACAGUUCCUGACACU
rnacentral:rRNA from 1 species